rnacentral:rRNA from 1 species
CGGAUGCGAGCUAGUCUCGCAUGGUAGGAGAGCGUUCCGUAAGCCUGCGAAGGUGCGUUGAAAAGCGUGCUGGAGGUAUCGGAAGUGCGAAUGCUGACAUGAGUAGCGAUAAAGGGGGUGAAAGGCCCCCUCGCCGUAAGCCCAAGGUUUCCUACGCAACGUUCAUCGGCGUAGGGUGAGUCGGCCCCUAAGGCGAGGCAGAAAUGCGUAGCUGAUGGGAAGCAGGUCAAUAUUCCUGCACCGUCGUUAGAUGCGAUGGGGGGACGGAUCGCGGAAGGUUGUCCGGGUGUUGGAAGUCCCGGUCGCUGCAUUGGAGAAGGCGCUUAGGCAAAUCCGGGCGCAGGAUUCAAGGGUGUGGCGCGAGCGCUCUAGGGCGCGAAGCAAUUGGAAGUGGUUCCAAGAAAAGCCUCUAAGCUUCAGUCUAACGAUGACCGUACCGCAAACCGACACAGGUGGGCGAGAUGAGUAUUCUAAGGCGCUUGAGAGAACUCGGGAGAAGGAACUCGGCAAAUUGGUACCGUAACUUCGGGAUAAGGUACGCCCUGGUAGCUUGACUGGCCUGCGCCAGAAGGGUGAAGGGGUUGCAAUAAACUGGUGGCUGCGACUGUUUAAUAAAAACACAGCACUCUGCAAACACGAAAGUGGACGUAUAGGGUGUGACGCCUGCCCGGUGCCGGAAGAUUAAAUGAUGGGGUGCAAGCUCUUGAUUGAAGUCCCGGUAAACGGCGGCCGUAACUAUAACGGUCCUAAGGUAGCGAAAUUCCUUGUCGGGUAAGUUCCGACCUGCACGAAUGGCGUAACGAUGGCCACACUGUCUCCUCCCGAGACUCAGCGAAGUUGAAGUGUUUGUGAUGAUGCAAUCUACCCGCGGCUAGACGGAAAGACCCCAUGAACCUUUACUGUAGCUUUGCAUUGGACUUUGAACCGAUCUGUGUAGGAUAGGUGGGAGGCUAUGAAACCGGAACGCUAGUUUCGGUGGAGCCGUCCUUGAAAUACCACCCUGGUUUGUUUGAGGUUCUAACCUUGGCCCGUGAUCCGGGUCGGGGACAGUGCAUGGUAGGCAGUUUGACUGGGGCGGUCUCCUCCCAAAGCGUAACGGAGGAGUACGAAGGUACGCUAGGUACGGUCGGAAAUCGUGCUGAUAGUGCAAUGGCAUAAGCGUGCUUAACUGCGAGACCGACAAGUCGAGCAGGUGCGAAAGCAGGUCAUAGUGAUCCGGUGGUUCUGUAUGGAAGGGCCAUCGCUCAACGGAUAAAAGGUACUCUGGGGAUAACAGGCUGAUACCGCCCAAGAGUUCAUAUCGACGGCGGUGUUUGGCACCUCGAUGUCGGCUCAUCUCAUCCUGGGGCUGUAGCCGGUCCCAAGGGUAUGGCUGUUCGCCAUUUAAAGAGGUACGUGAGCUGGGUUUAAAACGUCGUGAGACAGUUUGGUCCCUAUCUGCCGUGGGCGUUGGAAGUUUGAAGGGGGCUGCUCCUAGUACGAGAGGACCGGAGUGGACGAACCUCUGGUGUACCGGUUGUGACGCCAGUCGCAUCGCCGGGUAGCUAUGUUCGGAAGAGAUAACCGCUGAAAGCAUCUAAGCGGGAAACUCGCCUUAAGAUGAGACUUCCCCGGGGACUUGAUCCCCUUGAAGGGUCGUUCGAGACCAGGACGUUGAUAGGUCGGGUGUGUAAGCGCAGUAAUGCGUUCAGCUAACCGAUACUAAUUGCCCGUACGGCUUGAUCC